AAUCCUUCAAGUCUAUUAAUCUUAAUGAGCUGCCUGUAGGACUGAGUGUAACCGUCCAUCAUCGACCUCCCACUGAUUAUCACUUCUUAACUCAGCAGGGGACAGCAGGUCUGGGGAAACAACCCGCUGAGAGCGACUGGCAUGUCGGCUGACACGCGGCAACAGAGCAACAAUCUCCUACAUAAACAAAGCGUGGACAGCCCACAGCAAGACCCGUCACCUGCGGGAGGUAGUGGUGAUGUAGUGACGUUGCAAGUUCAGGACGUCCCAACAGCGAGCGAGGGAGACCUCACACAAAACAGCGGCGGUGGGUCAGUGGAAUAUCUGAAGCCAUCACUUCGAGCCAAAGAGCAGUCGCUGAAAGUUCGUCUGUUGCACAUCGCAGGGGACAAUCAACAAACCCAAGAUCAUAUACAGGCAGUUGUCAGAGGCAACACUGUGGAGACCAAGCAGGAGGCAGAGUGGACCGUCAUCAGAGAGACAGCCGCCCCACCACAGGAAGAGCACCCCUCCAAACAGGAAGCACUGGAAAGGUGUGGGUUAAUACUGCUUUCUUUCUUUUUUUUGUUUAACUUUUUUGGAAUUAAGUUUUAACCUGAGAUAUUAUUACAGUAGAACAUAAUCCAGAAUA
rnacentral:lncRNA from 1 species